rnacentral:pre_miRNA from 9 species
UCUCGAUAGCGUAAAAGUUAACUCAAUUUUGUAUGGAGUUGGGACGUUUGCCUACGUUUGCCGCUAGGGGCGCUUUUACAACUGCAUACAAAUUUGAGUUAACUUUAACGCGAUCGA